rnacentral:rRNA from 1 species
UGGGGAAUAUUGCACAAUGGGCGCAAGCCUGAUGCAGCCAUGCCGCGUGUGUGAAGAAGGCCUUCGGGUUGUAAACCUCUUUUAGCAAGGAAGAAGCGAAAGUGACGGUACUUGCAGAAAAAGCGCCGGCUAACUACGUGCCAGCAGCCGCGGUAAUACGUAGGGCGCAAGCGUUAUCCGGAAUUAUUGGGCGUAAAGAGCUCGUAGGCGGUUUGUCGCGUCUGCUGUGAAAACCCGAGGCUCAACCUCGGGCCUGCAGUGGGUACGGGCAGACUAGGGUGCGGUAGGGGGAGAUUGGAACUCCUGGUGUAGCGGUGGAAUGCGCAGAUAUCAGGAAGAACACCGAUGGCGAAGGCAGAUCUCUGGGCCCGUAACUGACGCUGAGGAGCGAAAGGGUGGGGAGCAAACAGGGCUUAGAUACCCUUGGUAGUCCACCCCGUAAACGUUGGGAACUAGUUGUGGGGUCCAUUCCACGGAUUCCGUGACGCAGCUAACGCAUUAAGUUCCCCGCCUGGGGAGUACGGCCGC